AACGAACGCCGGCGGCAGGCCUGACACAUGCAAGUCGAGCGCCCGGAUUUAUCCGGGAGCGGCGCACGGGUGAGUAACGCGUGGGAACAUGCCCUGAAGUACGGAACAACCUGGGGAAACCUUGGCUAAUACCGUAUACGCCCUGAGGGGGAAAGAUUUAUCGCUUUGGGAUUGGCCCGCGUUGGAUUAGCUGGUUGGUGUGGUAACGGCGCACCAAGGCGACGAUCCAUAACUGGUCUGAGAGGAUGACCAGUCACACUGGGACUGAGACACGGCCCAGACUCCUACGGGAGGCAGCAGUGGGGAAUAUUGGACAAUGGGCGAAAGCCUGAUCCAGCCAUGCCGCGUGAGUGAAGAAGGCCUUCGGGUUGUAAAGCUCUUUCAGCGGGGACGAUGAUGACGGUACCCGCAGAAGAAGCCCCGGCUAACUUCGUGCCAGCCGCCGCAGUAA
rnacentral:rRNA from 1 species